rnacentral:tRNA from 1 species
CGGGGCGUGGCGCAGUUUGGCUAGCGCGCCAGACUGGGGGUCUGGAGGUCGCAGGUUCAAGUCCUGUCGCCCCGA